rnacentral:rRNA from 1 species
GACGAACGCUGGCGGCGUGCUUAACACAUGCAAGUCGAGGGCGGGGGGUAACCCCUGACCGGCGAACGGGUGCGUAACACGUGAGCGACCUACCUCCCCGCGGGGGAUAGCCGGCCCAAC